rnacentral:rRNA from 1 species
AACGAACGCUGGCGGCAUGCCUAACACAUGCAAGUCGAACGAGACCUUCGGGUCUAGUGGCGCACGGGUGCGUAACGCGUGGGAAUCUACCCUUGGGUCCGGAAUAACAGUUAGAAAUGACUGCUAAUACCGGAUGAUGUCUUCGGACCAAAGAUUUAUCGCCCAGGGAUGAGCCCGCGUAGGAUUAGCUUGUUGGUGAGGUAAAAGCUCACCAAGGCGACGAUCCUUAGCUGGUCUGAGAGGAUGAUCAGCCACACUGGGACUGAGACACGGCCCAGACUCCUACGGGAGGCAGCAGUGGGGAAUAUUGGACAAUGGGCGAAAGCCUGAUCCAGCAAUGCCGCGUGAGUGAUGAAGGCCUUAGGGUUGUAAAGCUCUUUUACCCGGGAUGAUAAUGACAGUACCGGGAGAAUAAGCUCCGGCUAACUCCGUGCCAGCCGCCGCUGUAAUAC